rnacentral:rRNA from 1 species
CUACGGGUCGCAGCAGUCGAGAAUCUUUAGCAAUGGGCGAAAGCCUGACUAUGCGACGCCGCGUGAGGGAUGAAGGUCUUCGGAUCGUAAACCUCUGUCACAACGGAUGAAAGUUCAAUAUGUGAAUAAUGUGUUGGAUUGACAGUACGUUGAGAGGAAGCCACGGCCAACUCCGUGCCAGCAGCCGCGAUAAUACGGAGGUGGCGAGCAUUGUUCGGAAUUACUGGGUGUAAAGAGCGUGUAGGCGUUCUGACAAGUCAAUGGUGAAAUCCCUCGGCUUAACUGAGGAACUGCCACUGAAACUGUUAGAAUUGAGUUUGGGAGGGGAGAGCGGAAUUUCCGGUGUAAGGGUGAAAUCUGUAGAUAUCGGGAAGAACACCUGUGGCGAAGGCGGCUCUCUGGCCCAAAACUGACGCUCAGACGCGAAAGCUAGGGGAGCGAACAGGAUUAGAUACCCCCGUAGUC